CCUACGGGUGGCAGCAGUGGGGAAUAUUGGGCAAUGGGCGCAAGCCUGAACCAGCAACGCCGCGUGAAGGAAGAAGGCUUUCGGGUUGUAAACUUCUUUUCUGAGGGACGAAGAAAGUGACGGUACCUCAGGAAUAAGCCACGGCUAACUACGUGCCAGCAGCCGCGGUAAUACGUAGGUGGCAAGCGUUAUCCGGAUUUAUUGGGUGUAAAGGGCGUGUAGGCGGGACAGCAAGUCAGAUGUGAAAACUCAGGGCUCAACCCUGGGCCUGCAUUUGAAACUGUUUUUCUUGAGUGCUGGAGAGGCAAGCGGAAUGCGGGGUGUAGCGGUGAAAUGCGUAGAUAGACGGAGGAACACCAGUGGCGAAGGCGGAUUGCUGGACAGUAACUGACGCUGAGGCGCGAAAGCGUGGGGAGCAAACAGGAUCAGAUACCCGAGUAGUC
rnacentral:rRNA from 1 species